CAGCUGGGGACCAAGUGUUGAGGCACAUGAGUCUCUGUGGCACCUAAGUCUCUCUAAGAGACUCAGUCUAAUACAUUAUAAAUCCAUCGCAUUACAGAGGCUUCUGUCCUCAGAUUUCCCUUACAAUGGGGCUGAGUAGGAGUGAACGGUGUCUAGACAGUGAUGAGCUCCAACUUGAACCUCUGAUGCGUUGCCUGAGCCACAUUUUCAUAUGUAAAGUUGGAUAACAAGAUGCUGCUCUAAAGAUCUGGGGAGCUGAUACCGAUGGGAAGCAUCACAAAUACCUGGGAACCCUCAUGUCAUUCCUAUCCCCUCUUCCCUCUGGCAAUGUUGGUUUUCAAAUCACAUCCUCUUACCUCCCACACCCACAAGGGCAAGACUUGACUGUGAUAGCAGGCUUCACUGCAGAAGCAGUUUCUCCUCUCGUGCCAACUUAAAAGAGGAUGCAAGGAAUUGCUAACGAGUUGGAGGUGCUGCACAAUACAUGGUACCCAGCUUCCCUCUCAUCAGCCAGGAAGGCGGAAACUCCCAGCAUACUUGCUGUACAGUGCCACACCAGUGUACUAGGGACCUCUCAGCUUCCUGUCCAGCUUUCUGCCAAGAGAAGAGUGACAACUAGUCUGGAGGCCAUGAGAUGUUUCAAUGGAUAACAGUGCUUCUCUGUGGAAGCUGAAUGACAUGAAUUAGUGCCCCAGUAUCCAUGUAAAAAGUCAAAUUCAGCAGCAUGCAUCUGUAAUCCCAAGAUUCCUGCAGCAGGAUAAGAAGCCAAGACAAGUAAAUCGUGUGGAAGCUUGUGAAACAGCUAGCCUAAUUACAACAUCAUGGAAACAAGAUACCCUGCACCAACAAGUCGAGAGGAAAGGACUGA
rnacentral:lncRNA from 1 species